rnacentral:tRNA from 1 species
CAGUAAAUAGUUUAUAAAAAUAUUAAUUUUGGGAAUUAAUGAUAGGCAAUAUUUUGCUUUUUACUGA